rnacentral:rRNA from 1 species
AAGUGAGAAUGCCGGUAUGAGUAGCGAAAGACAGGUGAGAAUCCUGUCCACCGUAAGACUAAGGUUUCCAGGGGAAGGCUCGUCCGCCCUGGGUUAGUCGGGACCUAAGGAGAGACCGAAAGGUGUAUCCGAUGGACAACAGGUUGAUAUUCCUGUACUAGAGUAUAUAGUGAUGGAGGGACGCAGUAGGCUAACUAAACCAGACGAUUGGAAGUGUCUGGCCAAGCAGUGAGGUGUGAUAUGAGUCAAAUGCUUAUAUCUUUAACAUUGAGCUGUGAUGGGGAGCGAAGUUUAGUAGCGAAGUUAGUGAUGUCACACUGCCGAGAAAAGCUUCUAGCGUUAAUUAUACUCUACCCGUACCGCAAACCGACACAGGUAGUCGAGGCGAGUAGCCUCAGGUGAGCGAGAGAACUCUCGUUAAGGAACUCGGCAAAAUGGCCCCGUAACUUCGGGAGAAGGGGCGCUGACUGAUGGUCAGCCGCAGUGAAUAGGCCCAAGCAACUGUUUAUCAAAAACACAGCUCUCUGCUAAAUCGUAAGAUGAUGUAUAGGGGGUGACGCCUGCCCGGUGCUGGAAGGUUAAGAGGAGUGCUUAGCGUAAGCGAAGGUACGAAUUGAAGCCCCAGUAAACGGCGGCCGUAACUAUAACGGUCCUAAGGUAGCGAAAUUCCUUGUCGGGUAAGUUCCGACCCGCACGAAAGGCGUAAUGAUUUGAGCACUGUCUCGACAAUACAUCCGGUGAAAUUGAAGUACCAGUGAAGAUGCUGGUUACCCGCGCCAGGACGGAAAGACCCCAUGGAGCUUUACUCCAGUUUGGUACUGGGAUUCGGUACUGCACGUACAGGAUAGGUGGGAGACUUUGAAACUUGAACGCCAGUUUGAGUGGAGUCGCUGUUGGGAUACCACCCCUGCAGUAUUGGAUUUCUAACCAGUCACCGUGAUCCGGUGAUGGGACAAUGCCAGGCGGGGAGUUUGACUGGGGCGGUCGCCUCCGAAAGGGUAUCGGAGGCGCUCAAAGGUUCCCUCAGAAUGGUCGGAAACCAUUUGAAGAGUGCAAAGGCAGAAGGGAGCUUGACUGCGACACCGACGGGUGGAGCAGGUAGGAAACUAGGACUUAGUGAUCCGGUGGCAUAAAGUGGGAUUGCCAUCGCUCAACGGAUAAAAGCUACCCUGGGGAUAACAGGCUUAUCACUCCCAAGAGUUCACAUCGACGGAGUGGUUUGGCACCUCGAUGUCGGCUCAUCGCAUCCUGGGGCUGUAGCAGGUCCCAAGGGUUGGGCUGUUCGCCCAUUAAAGCGGUACGCG